GAUGAACGCUGGCGGCGUGCCUAAUACAUGCAAGUCGAGCGAACAGACGAGGAGCUUGCUCCUCUGACGUUAGCGGCGGACGGGUGAGUAACACGUGGAUAACCUACCUAUAAGACUGGGAUAACUUCGGGAAACCGGAGCUAAUACCGGAUAAUAUAUUUAACCGCAUGGUUUAAUAGUGAAAGACGGUUUUGCUGUCACUUAUAGAUGGAUCCGCGCCGCAUUAGCUAGUUGGUAAGGUAACGGCUUACCAAGGCAACGAUGCGUAGCCGACCUGAGAGGGUCCUCGGCCACACUGGAACUGAGACACGGUCCAGACUCCUACGGGAGGCAGCAGUAGGUAAUCUUCCGCAAUAGGCAAAAGCCUGACGGAGCAACGCCGCGUGAGUGAUGAAGUUCUUCGGAUCGUAAAACUCUGUUAUUAGGGAAGAACAAAUGUGUAAGUAACUAUGCACGUCUUGACGGUACCUAACCAGAAAGCCACGGCUAACUACGUG
rnacentral:rRNA from 1 species